CCCGUGAAGAUGCGGGGUUCCCGCGGUCAGACGGAAAGACCCUAUGAACCUUUACUGCAGCUUCGCCUUGGCGUUAGCAGCAACAUGUGUAGGAUAGGUGGGAGGCUAUGAAACCGGGGCGCCAGCUCUGGUGGAGCCAACCUUGAAAUACCACCCUGGUUUGUUUGAGGUUCUAACCUUGGUCCGUUAUCCGGAUCGGGGACAGUGCAUGGUAGGCAGUUUGACUGGGGCGGUCUCCUCCUAAAGUGUAACGGAGGAGUUCGAAGGUACGCUAGAUACGGUCGGACAUCGUGUUGAUAGUGCAAUGGCAUAAGCGUGCUUAACUGCGAGACUGACAAGUCGAGCAGGUACGAAAGUAGGACAUAGUGAUCCGGUGGUUCUGUAUGGAAGGGCCAUCGCUCAACGGAUAAAAGGUACUCUGGGGAUAACAGGCUGAUUCCUCCCAAGAGUUCAUAUCGACGGGGGAGUUUGGCACCUCGAUGUCGGCUCAUCACAUCCUGGGGCUGUAGCCGGUCCCAAGGGUAUGGCUGUUCGCCAUUUAAAGUGGUACGUGAGCUGGGUUUAAAACGUCGUGAGACAGUUUGGUCCCUAUCUGCCGUGGGCGUUGGAAAUUUGAAGGGGGCUGCUCCUAGUACGAGAGGACCGGAGUGGACGAACCUCUGGUGUACCGGUUGUCACGCCAGUGGCAUUGCCGGGUAGCUAAGUCUGGAAGAGAUAACCGCUGAAAGCAUCUAAGCGGGAAACUUGCCUUGAGAUGAGAUUUCCCAGAGCCUUGAGCUCUUUAAAGGGUCGUUCGAGACCAGGACGUUGAUAGGUCAGGUGUGGAAG
rnacentral:rRNA from 1 species